rnacentral:rRNA from 1 species
GACGAACGCUGGCGGCGUGCUUAACACAUGCAAGUCGAACGGUGAAAGCGGAGCUUGCUCCGCUGGAUCAGUGGCGAACGGGUGAGUAACACGUGGGCAACCUGCCCCUCACUUCGGGAUAACUCCGGGAAACCGGGGCUAAUACCGGAUAUGACCUCCUUGGGCAUCCUUGGAGGUGGAAAGUUUUUCGGUGGGGGAGAGUGGGCCCGCGGCCGAGCAGCUUGUUGGUGAGGUGGUGGCUCACCAAGGCGGGGACGGGUAGCCGGCCUGAGAGGGCGACCGGCCCCACUGGGACCGAGACACGGCCGAGACUCCUACGGGAGGCAGCAGUGGGGAAUGUUGCGCCAUGGGCGAAAGCCUGACGCAGCAACGCCGCGUGCGGGAUGACGGCCUUCGGGUUGUAAACCGCUUUCAGCAGGGAAGAAGCCGCAAGGUGACGGUACCUGCAGAAGAAGCACCGGCUAACUACGUGCCAGCCGCCGCAGUAA